rnacentral:rRNA from 1 species
GACGAGGGGUCCUAGCGUUGUUCGGAAUCAUUGGGCGUAAAGCGCAUGUAGGCGGCCUAGCAAGUCAGGUGUGAAAGCCCAGGGCUCAACCCUGGAAGUGCACUUGAUACUGCUGGGCUUGAAUAUGGGAGAGGAUAGUGGAAUUCCUGGUGUAGUGGUGAAAUACGUAGAUAUCAGGAGGAACACCGGUGGCGAAGGCGGCUAUCUGGCCCAAUAUUGACGCUGAGAUGCGAAAGCGCGGGGAUCAAACAGG